rnacentral:tRNA from 1 species
AAGAUCUAAGCCCUUUUAAUAGAGGUUCAAACCCUCUCGUUAACCAAACCCUCUCGUUAAC